CUCUGCGUCUGAAGCAGGUGGUCUUACCACUAGACCAUAGAGGCGGUUAAAUCUCAGUAUCAUCUUGACAGGAUAGCUGCCAAGACAUUGAUUUUCAGUAGGUGCCUUGUAAGCAGGGAUACUGAUGUGAUUCAUCAAGAGAAAAAAGUCAUAGUUAUUGCAGUUCCAUCGUAACACCGAAAGCAUCCAAGCAUCCCGAGAGCAAAAUGGGAACUACGAGCAGCGUUCUCAAUGCCGGAACGGCCCGCCAAUACCCGCACGCACGACGUGCAUACUCUGAUGGCACGCAACGGCGCGGGGGCAGGUCGUUUCAACAUCGAGACGCUGCAAAUCUAAACGAGCCUUGGAAUGUUGCUGUGCGAUGCCUUGAUGUUACCAAAAAUCAAUAACAGAGAAAGUCUUCAAGGAUCAAAUUUAGCACUAGAACACAGAGGCGGUUAAAACUCAGUAUCAUCUUGACAGGAUAGCUGCCAAGACACUGAUUUUCAGUAGGUGCCUUGUAAGCAGGGAUACUGAUGGGAUUCAUCAAGAAAAAAAAGUCAUAGUUAUUGCAGUUCCAUCGUAACACCGAAAGCAUCCAAGCAUCCCGAGAGCAAAAUGGGAACUACGAGCAGCGUUCUCAAUGCCGGAACGGCCCGCCAAUACCCGCACGCACGACGUGCAUACUCUGAUGGCACGCAACGGCGCGGGGGCAGGUCGUUUCAACAUCGAGACGCUGCAAAUCUAAACGAGCCUCGGAAUGUGGCUGUGCGAUGCCUUGAUGUUACCAAAAAUCAAUAACAGAGAAAGGCUUUUAUCUUAGUUUUUUAAAGUAUAAUGAUGUUCAAUUAAUUAAAAGGAUGACUGAAAUUGUAGUUUUAUUUUUAACUUUACUUAGUUAUAGCCAUUUGGAUAAAUGAACAUGGAACAAG